rnacentral:rRNA from 1 species
GACGUAGGGCGCGAGCGUUGUCCGGAUUUAUUGGGCGUAAAGAGCUCGUAGGCGGCUUGUCGCGUCGUCCGUGAAAACCUGCAGCUCAACUGCAGGCUUGCGGUCGAUACGGGCAGGCUAGAGUUCGGUAGGGGAGACUGGAAUUCCUGGUGUAGCGGUGAAAUGCGCAGAUAUCAGAAGGAACACCGAUGGCGAAGGCAGGUCUCUGGGCCACUACUGACGCUGAGAAGCGAAAGCAUGGGGAGCGAACAGG